rnacentral:tRNA from 1 species
CGGGGUUUUUAUAUAACAAUAACAAUUAGUUAUAGAUUUAUAUCUCGGACUCUGACUCCGUCGGUCCUGGUUCGAAUCCAGGUUCCCCAGCCA